rnacentral:lncRNA from 1 species
CACUCAGAGGCGAGCUUCUGGGAGCAGUCGGCAGGAAGGACAGAAGACACCAGGGAAGGUAAAAAGGGCUUGCAAGUGGGAAACAUCUAGAGAACCCAGGAGCAGCAUGGGGGUCGAGGGGCAGAGCGCUCUCUCUCACACUCCCAUCCAUUCCCUAAGCUAUGCGGAUUCAGCACAGGUGCUGACUGGCUGCAUGGAGAUGCAACCACCACUGCUAUUCCAGGUGCAAUCUUUGUGAAGAGGGAAGAUGUUCUCAUGGAAUGAAAGAAACCAUCUGUGCAUGCCGAGCGACAUCCCUCAGCAUUGCCAUUUCUUGAGGAGUAUAGAAAAGCCAGGAUGAGGCCCCUCUGCUAUCCUGAGAGCUUGGGGAGUUUCCAAGAAGGCUCUAAGCCAGUGCUGUGAAUUUGAAGGCCAACCAGAACCACUUCAGUUGCUCUUGGUGACUCACACUUCCGGAAGUCCGGAAACCCUUCCUCCGCCAUGACUCACCUGAGCACUAUUCCUCUGUGGAGUUUCCAGGACAUUCUCUAAAAGCAGAGACAUCCUUCUGUCUGCAAAGUUCACUGCCCAUAUGCUGAGCAUUAGCUCUCAGCUCCAACAUAUGGAUCCUGUUACUUCAAUGCUCUCACUGCUGGAGAAUAUCCUUAUUCUAAGUGAAAAAACAGCCUUCACUUUUCCUUUUUCUUUCUUUUUUUUUAAAGCUCCUUUCACAAAAGAACAUGACUCUCAGGGGGGAGUCAAGCUGAAGAGCUUUCAUUCCCAAAUGCUGCCAGGAUCUAUCUAUGGACAACAACAGGAGAGAAAGAGAAAUGCGAAUUUCAAAGGAAUUCCCAGCCUAACGGGAUCCCUCACACACAUUUAUCAUCAGGUCUAAAAAAAGAAAUCUUCCAUGGAGAGUGCUGGCCCUUUGCACACAAGGAAAAGAGACUUAUUUCUCUCUCAAAGCACCAGACAGGGCUGGGGCAGAGGAGCCUAGCCACUCUGCAAACAAUGCUUAGAUGUUUUAGACUGUAGUCCGUGUAGAUUUUCCUCCUGCGCAUGCCAAACCUUGAAUUAUUAGGUCUAAUAAUGAGAAGGGGAACCCUGUGGUAAAGUCCAAACUCUUCGCCUCCCUUCUUCUACCUGUUUUUUUCUCUUUCACUGUUUUGCAAUAAAAUCUCCUGAAUUGU